rnacentral:misc_RNA from 1 species
GAAAUGCGAUAAGUAGUGUGAAUUGCAGAAUUCCGUGAAUCAUCGAAUCUUCGAACGCACAUUGCACUCCUUCGGUACUCCGAGGAGUAUGCCUGUUUGAGUAUCAAUUACAACCUCACCCCAAAACUCUGUUGUUUGUCUUAAAAAAACAAAAAAUAGUUGUGGCGGAGUGGAAUUGAGUCUUUCACAGCUAAGAAAACGAAAGAAUUUUUAGCUGAGUGACUUGAAUAAUAGAGAAACAGCAAGGAAUAUUUGCUAAGGCGUGAUAAUAGCAAGAUUCGAAAGAAUUUUCUUAAAUGCUCGCCAGUACAGUAAAUGCUCUUUUGUAGUCUCCAAAAACUAAAUUACUCAGUUUUUUUCUCGCAAAAACAGAAAAAAAUUGUGAACUUGAUCUCAAAUC